UCUAAAUGUAAAUUUUGUUCUAAAGUAGUAUUAGUUAUGUUCUUGAAAUUUAAAGAUUUUGGCGGUAUUUUAGUCUUUUCAGAGGAACCUGUUCUGUAAUUGAUAAUCCACGAUUAAUUAAACUUGGUUUAUUAGUUUGUAUAUCGUCGUGGUUUGAAUAUUUUAAAAGAAUUAAAUGUUCAUUUUUUUAAAUUAAAAUAAAUAUCAGAUCAAGGUGCAGCUUAUAAUCAAGAAGAAAUGGGUUACAUAUAAAAAAAUUUAUGGGUGUAAAAUUUAAAAUUUUAUUAAAAUUGGAUUUGAAAGUAAUUAAAUGUAUAAUCUUUUAAUGAUUAAGCUCUAAAAUAUGC
rnacentral:rRNA from 1 species